GCCCGCAGCCCCCUGUUUUUGGGAUCGUGACUUCUUUCUCUAGGCCCCAGAUCGAGAAACUUGAGGGCUCCUUCCUUCCCCUCCUCCCGUGCGCUUCCCACUGAUCCGCCCCAAGUCGACCCCGUCUCCGGUCGAUGCCGGCGCUCCUGCAAGCCGUCGCCGACCUCCUAUGCCGGUCAGCCGCGCCCAACUCCCUCCUCCUCCCUUCUCUCCUCCUCUCCUCACUAAUCUCUGCUCUCUCUUCGUUCCCACGAUGCAGAACGCCAUGGCCAUGGACCGAAGCUCCGUUGGUCCCUCCCUCACGACUGCCAGUCUUCCUCCCGACCAGAUCGACGACGGCGAUGACCGGAUCUGCCCCACUGCCGUCCGUUUCCAAGGGACGUCAACGGAUGGGGUUUCUUCAUCUCAGCCUCCACCACCCGCGGGCUCACCGGUGAUGGACCUGCUCAGCAUGUAGGAUUGCGUGCUUCCUGGCGAGGUGGUCGUGUCUUGCCCGACGCGCCCUCGGCUGUCGAGUCUUUUUCCUCGGCGCGCCGUCCUCCAGUACCUCUGUCGUCAUUUGUACCACCGUGCGCCACUGCCCGUUCGCGUGAACCAUCCAGGUGGGUAGGUUUGGUUCUGAUCUUAAAAUUUUCCCCAUUCAAAUUUUCGUUGAUUUUGUUCAGAUUGAAAUUUGGGCUGUGUUUCGUUGAAGGCCCGAUUUCACCUGCUGAGAGCUGUUGAUAUCUCAGUUUAAAGCUCAUAUCUAUUAGGUUCAAAACUGAAUUUUAUCAGAGGAAGUUUUGUGUGUUCGCAAGCCUACAACACCCGUUGCAUUUUCUUCAGCAUGACCAACAACUGCACCUCUGAAGUUAACCAUGGCAAGCUACCCAAUAUAUCGUCUAGAUGCUUGAGGGAUAGCGUCACCGCUGUGCAUGAUUUCGAGGUGGCCAAUUAGCAGUUGUUGGAUGGCAUCUGGUCGGCAAACACAUUCCCUCAAGUUUUUGCCUCACCUAGCAUAAGCCCCACUUCCCCAGCCAACCCAACCGCCCCCUCCAUGCCGAACCCCUGUGCUGGUGGUGGACAAAAGUUAGCAAGAGGAACUUGAUUUUUUAGCUUUAUUUGUUUCUUAUACAGGUGAUGCUUUUCUAUAUUAUGGAUGGAUUCUUGAUAGCCAUCAUGGAUUACUGCUAAGUAGAUAAUCGAAUAUUAAAUAAGUAAAAAUCUUUGGGGUGGUAUAGUACUGAAAACAUGGUGUUAGUUCCUAUGAUUUUUAUGCUUAAAGCCUAUAUUAGUCGAAUUUAAUUGUUUUGUACAGUUACACACAGAGAUUACAACAUGGUAAAGUUUCUUUGUAGCUCAGGCUACAUAGAAUCAUUUGUGGCAGGAUCAAUGUUGUUCGUUGUUCUGUUCCAUGAUUCCUAGCAGUUUUUUGUUUCAUCAAAGGUGGUCACAUUCAGAUUCAGAUUUUUAUAAUUACAUUCAGAUUUUUUUACUUAAUGAUGGUAUGUGUAGCCAUCCUCCCUGGGGCUCCAAUCUGUGAGUAUGUUGGUGUGUUGCCGAGGACUGGAGAGAAAAGGUCAGGGUCUGAUAUGCAUAUGCCAUCACUUCAUGUUGAGAACAAUUCCGAGGCACCACCGGCACCCGAGUACUGCAUCGAUGCUGGCUCCGUUGGAAGUUUCGCAAGGUUCAUAAACCACGGCUGCAACCCUAACCUCUUCGCCCAGUGUGUCCUAACCAAUCACCACGACAUCAAGCUAGAAAAGGUAGCACCUAACAUCGACAACUGCGAUGUCAUGAACUCCCUCGCAAUUGCCGAAUAUGUCGCUGAAAUUACAACUUCUACAGACAGACCAAGGAGUUGAGUUGUGAGGCCCCCACCGACAUGACACACCAAACUGAUAUCAAUGAGAAAAGGCGUAGUAUUCCCAUUGACUGGUUGACUGAGGUGCAGUACAAGCUUGAGCUACUAGGUGAAACACUAUUCCUUGUUGUCAACAUCAUUAAUAGAUCAAUGCAUAGAAAAACAUGUCUCGAUUUUUCUCUUGAAUGGAACCUGCAAGUUUCUCAACUGUUUAGUGAAGCUUACCUUGAAAAGAACUAUAAAUACUACAGGAAGUAGAGUAAGACAAUGACAGUUAAUUGGAAUAUUGAUUUUGAGAGGAUAUUUAUGGGUUUAGAUCUCUGUAAUUACAUAUUACUUUCCUUGCU